rnacentral:rRNA from 1 species
AUAUCCUACGGGACGCAGCAGUGGGGAAUAUUGCACAAUGGGGGAAACCCUGAUGCAGCAACGCCGCGUGAGUGAUGACGGCCUUCGGGUUGUAAAGCUCUGUCUUCAGGGACGAUAAUGACGGUACCUGAGGAGGAAGCCACGGCUAACUACGUCCCAGCAGCCGCGGCAAUACGUAGGUGGCGAGCGUUGUCCGGAUUUACUGGGCGUAAAGGGAGCGUAGGCGGAUUUUUAAGUGAGAUGUGAUAUACUCGGG